AGGACGAACGCUGGCGGCGUGCUUAACACAUGCAAGUCGAGCGGAAAGGCCCUUCGGGGUACUCGAGCGGCGAACGGGUGAGUAACACGUGAGCAAUCUGCCCUUAGCUUCGGGAUAGCUCCGGGAAACCGGAAUUAAUACCGGAUAUGACCAUGGCCGACAUCAGCCAUGGUGGAAAGUUUUUCGGCUAGGGAUGAGCUCGCGGCCUAUCAGCUAGUUGGUGGGGCAACGGCCCACCAAGGCGACGACGGGUAGCCGGCCUGAGAGGGCGACCGGCCACACUGGGACUGAGACACGGCCCAGACUCCUACGGGAGGCAGCAGUGGGGAAUAUUGCGCAAUGGGCGAAAGCCUGACGCAGCGACGCCGCGUGGGGGAUGAAGGCCUUCGGGUUGUAAACCCCUUUCAGCAGGGACGAAGCGAAAGUGACGGUACCUGCAGAAGAAGCGCCGGCUACUACGCGCCAGCAGCCGC
rnacentral:rRNA from 1 species